CCUACGGGGUGCACCAGCGGGGAAUAUUGGACAAUGGGCGAAAGCCUGAUCCAGCAAUGCCGCGUGUGUGAAGAAGGUCUUCGGAUUGUAAAGCACUUUCGACGGGGACGAUGAUGACGGUAACCGGAGAAGAAGCCCCGGCUAACUUCGUGCUAGCAGCCGCGGUAAUACGAAGGGGGCUAGCGUUGUUCGGAAUUACUGGGCGUAAAGCGCGCGUAGGCGGAUAGAUAAGUCAGAGGUGAAAUCCCGGGGCUCAACCCCGGAAUUGCCUUUGAUACUGUUUAUCUUGAGUGCAGAAGAGGUAAGUGGAAUUCCCAGUGUAGAGGUGAAAUUCGUAGAUAUUGGGAAGAACACCGGCGGCGAAGGCGGCAACCUGGCUCGAUACUGACGCUGAGGCGCGAAAGCGUGGGGAGCAGACAGGAUUAGAUACCCCUGUAGUC
rnacentral:rRNA from 1 species